rfam:Trichobilharzia regenti genome assembly, scaffold: TRE_scaffold0031519
AGUUAGCUGACGAGUCCUAAAUGGGACGAAAUGCGCUUUAUCCUGGAU